rnacentral:rRNA from 1 species
AACACGUAUCCAACCUGCCGAUAACUCGGGGAUAGCCUUUCGAAAGAAAGAUUAAUACCCGAUGGCAUAAUAGAACCGCAUGGUUUGAUUAUUAAAGAAUUUCGGUUAUCGAUGGGGAUGCGUUCCAUUAGGCAGUUGGUGGGGUAACGGCCCACCAAACCUUCGAUGGAUAGGGGUUCUGAGAGGAAGGUCCCCCCACAUUGGAACUGAGACACGGUCCAAACUCCUACGGGAGGCAGCAUG